rnacentral:snoRNA from 1 species
AUGCUAUGAUGAGGGCACUUUUGUAAUAACUUCUUGAAUCGCUCCCAUGCCUCAUAUAAAGAUUUUUCAUCAAGUUGUUGAAAUGAAGUGAUUUCAUUUCGGGUCU